AACCUCCGCAAUGUGAGAAAUCGCGACGGGGGGAUCCCAAGUGCCAUUCUUAACGGGAUGGCUUUUCAUUAGUGUAAAGAGCUUUUGGAAUAAGAGCUGGGCAAGACCGGUGCCAGCCGCCGCGGUAACACCGGCAGCUCUAGUGGUAGCAAUUUUUAUUGGGCCUAAAGCGUCCGUAGCCGGUUUAAUAAGUCUCUGGUGAAAUCCUGUAGCUUAACUGUGGGAAUUGCUGGAGAUACUAUUAGACUUGAGAUCGGGAGAGGUUAGAGGUACUCCCAGGGUAGAGGUGAAAUUCUGUAAUCCUGGGAGGACCGCCUGUUGCGAAGGCGUCUAACUGGAACGAUUCUGACGGUGAGGGACGAAAGUUAGGGGCGCGAACCGGAUUAGAUACCCGGGUAGUCCUAACUGUAAACGAUGCGGACUUGGUGUUGGGGUGGCUUUGAGCUGCUCCAGUGCCGAAGGGAAGCUGUUAAGUCCGCCGCCUGGGAAGUACGGUCGCAAGACUGAAACUUAAAGGAAUU
rnacentral:rRNA from 1 species